UACGUAGGGUGCAAGCGUUUAAUCGGAAUUACUGGGCGUAAAGCGUGCGCAGGCGGUUUGGUAAGACAGAUGUGAAAUCCCCGGGCUUAACCUGGGAAUUGCAUUUGUGACUGCCCGGCUAGAGUGUGUCAGAGGGGGGUAGAAUUCCGACGUGUAGCAGUGAAAUGCGUAGAGAUGUGGAGGAAUACCGAUGGCGAAGGCAGCCCCCUGGGAUAACACUGACGCUCAUGCACGAAAGCGUGGGGAGCAAACAGG
rnacentral:rRNA from 1 species